rnacentral:lncRNA from 1 species
AGUAUAAGAGCUGGCAAAGUUUUUCCUUUCAAAAAUACUUUAUGCUUAUAAAUAGGUUAAUGGGCUGAUAAAAACAGGUUUUGUCAAAACAUUCCAAAUGAGCUCAGAAAGAUCCUAUAUAUAUAAAUGAAAAAACUAAUUUUACUUUCAGGGCCUUAAAAUUUUUCUAAGGCAAGACAUGUAAGUGAGCUGGGUGUGGUAGUACACAGCUGUAAUCUCAGCCCUAGGGAGGCUGAGGCAAGAGGAUCCAGGAAGGCCAGCCUGAACUGCAUAGACCCUGUCUCCAAAAAAAAAGGACACAUUUAAGUGAAAAUCAGGGUUGGUGAUUAUAAAUCAAAGAUAUGUCUUCUAAGCCAAAUGAGGAACCUCAAUUGAACGGCUGCAGUUUCAAAAAUUAUCAGAUUUUUAGUUAAGGGAAAUGAAAGAUCAUUUGCUCAUCUGAUUCAGAUGGAAGUUUACUAUUGUGGAAGCACGGAUGUCAAACAUGUACUGCUAAGUCUAAUCCAGUUAAAAAUUCUGCCUCAAGGGACCUUUCUAACUUCUGUGGGUGUGUCAUGGGAACUGUCUAAGAUGUUGAGAAUGGAGAAAGUGGCUUAGAGUUAAUUGUAUAACCAGGCUUCAGAUCCUGACAGAAAUGAUAAAAAAUCCUUUCAAAUCUGAGAACUAAUGAGCUGUGUAGUGUCCAGGCAGUAUCCCCCGGAACCUUGAUACUUCGAGUCCAAAAUUCAAGUAAGCCAAUUACUUAAGAUAAUUCAGUGCAAAAUCUUGUUAAAACGUGGAAAUGACUUAAAUUUUAUAUUUUGGAGUAUUGUGGGUUGAACACAGGGUCAUUGCCUGAGCUACAUUCCCAGCUCUUAGUUUUUUAAAGUUUGAGACAGGGCCUUGCCAAGUUGCCCAUGCUGGCCUUGACCUUGUAAUCCUUCUGCUUUGGCCUCCCACAUUGCUAGGAUUAUAGGCAUGUGUUCACCACACUGGCUGAAAAUGACUAAUUGAAAAAGCACUAUUUUAAUAAGGAACUAUUUUAAUGUCUAGAGAUGGUUACAGCACAGUAGUUUUAAGAAUUUUUAACUUCAAGAAGAAACUGCCAGGUGUGAUGGUGCAUGUCUAUAAUCCCAGCACUUGGGAGGCUUAGGCAGGAGGAUUGCCGCAUGUUUGAGGCCAGCCUGAACUACACUGACUGUCUCAAAAAAAAAAGAAAAUGAAAUUUUAAUAUUAGGUUCUCUUAAAAAUCAUGGCAUAUAGUUAAUUCCAUCCUGAUUCAGUUGUGUGAAGGUUGAAAACGAUUGCUGAUUAGUUGCUGUAAUUCUGAUGAUCUUCCAUCAAAAUGUUGACAAUUGUCAAUUUUCUUAGAGUGAAAUCUGGAACUCUUGUGUGCUCUGUGUACCCCAGGGGUAAGGAUUAAAAGAUAGGAAAAGUACCUGUAUGAUAGUAGCCAUCAACAGCUCUUUUCCUCACUACCUAGGGAAACAAUAUACUCGUGUUUUUGCAUUAUACUGAUAACUGCACCAGAGAGGAAAGUAGUGAUUUUUGAAUGACAACCAACCAAUACCUUGUUGGGCAUCACGUGGUCUAUGAUAAGAGCACACAUCUGCUUGGUACAAUGUACUUGAAAGGUUUUUUUUUUUUUCAAUACCACUAUGGUAUUACUGCAGAUAUGGACGCAUCAAACAGCUUAAAUCUUAAACCCUAAGUGUGAACACACUAGCUAGUAAUUGGCGAUUGUGAUAAUAGAUUUAUGCUUGUCACUUGCAACUGACCCUUGAAAUACCCUUUAAUAGUACAUGAAAGCUAGAAAAGGGUUUGGGUUGCUAUUCAACAAGAAGCAAGGUAGUUCAUUUUCUUGUCCCCUUCCAGUAGCAAAGCAGUACUCACAUUUGCCACAGCUUAGGAAAUUCCCUGGGUUUCAGCCAACUUGCUCCCUAGAGUAAUGAGGCAAAAUGUUGCUCUGUUCUAGGAAUGCUGCUGUUUCACGAUCCACUGUAGCAAGAAAUACAUGCCACACAACACAGAAUGACACAGGAAUAACUUGAUAGCCACACUUCUGGGAGGUUUCAGACCUAAAUAGAUGCUGUCUGCCAGAAGGAAAUGGACUCACUGGAGCCUUUAGGCCUGUCCAUGGUUUGGCCCUUUGGUAGCUGAGUUUACUGGGCAUCCACUGACGAGGAGAACGUAAUAAAGACCUGGAAUAAUAGAAGGAUAAGCCUGUAAGUGAACAUGAGUUGGUGGAAAACUGAACUUUAAUACUGGGAAAUCAGUUGGUUGUGGGUGUAGCACAGUGGUAGAGUGGGUGCUUAGCAUACUUGAGGUCCUGGAUUUAAUCCCCAGCACAAAAAAAUGAGUGAAAAGUGGCUUUGCAACAUCCUUAUAAAUUUCAUGAUGUAUUUUUUUCUUUUUGGUUGCAUAAUUUAGUCAUAACAUUCCAUAGUGUGAUGCUCUAUAAUAACCUGUUCAUUCUCUUUUUCUCUACUUUUUGCUAUUUCUAACAAUACCUAAGUGAACAUCUGUACAUUACUCUCAGGCAUGUGUAGAUCUUUAGGAUAAACCUUGAAAGAGUCCAAAGAUAACUUGCAUUUCAUAUUCUGGCAGCUACGUAUUCAUAAACUAACCCACUCAAGAGGUAAUAUUUAUAUUGUGAAAUAUUUUAAUGAUUUUAUAAUGAAUCAGUUUUUACUGGUUAUUCUUUGGCUCCAUGGGGAAAAAGAUUUGAAUUUUAAGAGAAGGCUGAAAUACUGUCGUUUGUCCAGAGCUACCUGAUCACGAAACACAGAACUGAAAGAUGGUUGGGCUAGCUACUAUUUCUCUAAAAGGUUACUACAGUAUCUAAAUGUUUGAUCCCUUAUGUGAGAAUGAGGAGCUUCCUUCACAUUUUGGCAUCCUCUAUCUUAAGUGGAAGUUUCUGGUCAUUUUUCAAUUUCGGGAGGACCUUUUCUAACAGAGAUUGUGUGUCAUUCUUACAGAAGCUAUGUCCACAUUUUGGAAAAGAAUUUUUUAACAAAGUUUAGCCAAAGGAUGAGAAAUCAAGCUGUGUGUGUGCGCGCGCUCACUGAAGUCCAGGCAUUAGGAGACAGGUUAUUUGGAGAGGUGGACUGGAUCCUGCACUGUGGCCUUAAACAUGGUAAAGUUCACCAGUGCUUCAUUUCUUUGCUGGGCACAGUAUUUUAGGGUAAAAAAAAUUCCAAAUGAGUUUAUGAGCAUAAUUGUAUUUAUAGGCUUUAAGAGGAAUUAGGCUUAGUUCCCUAGAAUUACACAGAACCUCACAUUAGAAGCUUUACCAUAUUUUUGUUUAUUGAAUAUCAGAGGUCAUUUUAUAAAGUGUUCUGAAUAUAUAGGUAUGAGAAUGAAGUCCUAAACCAAAAUAAGUAGCCUGUUAGGUGUGAGUGUUCCAAAAGAUAGAAGAAAACAAGAUGCUUAGUUACUACACCCGAGUUGCUUAUAUGGUGAUCAGGAAUGUUCAGACAGUAAGGAUUUGGGGGCUCCCCAGGGCAGAUAUUGCACCUCCACCAUUCAGAUGUAUACCCCACCUGCCCCCCAUUCCUGCACUUGCAAUUCAGGGGAGCCUGGGCCUUGCUUUCCCACCUGGGGCUUGGGUUUACUGAACAGGCUAGGCAUUCCAGCUCAGAAGCAGCAAAACCAACUGAACAGCCUCCUUUCAUAAGACUGACAGGAGCUGUUAGUACUUUGGAGGUCAGCAACAGAAUAGUUCAUGACACCAGGGUGGGGUCAUACCGCGUUAGAGGUGAAGACUCGAUGGGCCGUUGCUGUCCAACCUGUGCAUUUUUACAGAGCAGUGGACAUAGAACCACCGACAGGCAGAGGGUUGCUCCAGGACAAACUGUGUAUUGAAACAAUGUAGCAGAGCCGGGCUCAUAGCAGGUGCAAAAAAUGUGACCCUUUCCCUCCCUUUUAAAUCUUCCUCCUUACCCUGCUUCUUUACCUCCUUCUCCUGCUGUGGCUACUCUGCUGUGAAGACAGCCAGCGAUGGGAGUCUCCAGAGAGCUGGCACUGCUUAUGUGUCUUAGAACUGCAGCAUGGUCUUCCCAAAGAUCACAGAAGGAAGGGUGAUAGUACACGACACAUGACAAUGACUUCUGAAAGAUGAAUGAAAUUUACAUUCGUUGAUACAAAACAAGAAAACAAAACUGUACAUUUCCAGCAGUGAGAAAUACGUCCUAGUUUAUUUACAUACAUAUAUAUACAUAUAUGUGCAUAUAUACAUAUGUAUAUGUUUUUAUAAUUGAGAUUAGAAUUACAUAUUGUGAAAUUAUAUUUUUUUUCUCUUUUGCAGUGCUAGGGAUUGAAUCCAAAGUCUUGUGCAUGUUAGGCCAGGACUCUACCAGUGAACUACAUCCUCAGCCCCUAACCAUUUUAUGGUGAGCAAUUCAGUGGCAUUUACUACAUUCAUAAUGUUCUGAAACCACCACCUCUGGUUCCAAAAUAUUUGUAUCAUUUCAAAAGAAAACCCUGUACCCAGUCCUUGAUCUAGUCUGGAAAUUUCAUAUAAACAGAAUCAUACAAUAAGUGAUUUUUAUAUCUAUCUUCUUUUCGUUGUUCAACCAUAUUGUAGCGGUACUACUUUCCAUUUUAAGGCUGAAUAAUAUUCCAUUUUAUGUAUGUAGCAUAAUUCCUUUAUCCAUUCUUCCAUUGAUAAACACAAAUUAUUUCCACCUUUUGGCUGUUGUGAAUAGUGCUGUUAUGAACAUGCAUAGACGUGUAUUUGCUUGAGUCUCUGCUUGCAGUUCUUUGGGUAUAAUAUUUAAGAGUGACCUCCUGGAUCAUAUGGUAAUUCUUAUGGCUUGUGUCUAGAUGUUCCCCUCAAAGCCCCAUGCAGUCGUAGGUGGGGCUUUUUCUGAGGUGGAUAAAUCUAUAGCAUAUGAUACUGGGAUUAAGGGUGUGUGAUUACUAAACCACAUGAGUGAUUGAUUUGGCACCGCCCAAAUCCCAAUAAACUGGAUGGGGUAAAAGGGGGCAGAAAGACCCUGUUAAAGUCUCUUGCUUUUUCUGUCUUCUGCUGCCAUGAACUGUUGCCCCUCUGCCACUCUGCCUUGGAGCCAGUAAAUUAUGGACUGAAACCUCUACGAACUUCAGUCUUUUCCAUUUCUUCUCAAUGUUGGGGAGAAAACCCAGGACCUCAGGUAUGCUGGGCAAGUAUUCUGCUGCUGACCUGCAUGCAGCCCUAACAGUGCACUCUGAACACAGGUUUGUUUAUGUCAUCAUUGCGUUCUUGUUCUGCGCUGCC